UGGGCAUAUUCCAGUCCCUGAGCAGCUGGAUAAACGGUGUUGUUUGGUGUGGUGAGUUACUCUAAUGAGGGGCAGAAUCUCAGCCAGUUUCUGUGCCAGUUUAUCGCCACAUUCAUUCCAUGACAAGCUAAGACAGACAGGAAUUUUCAAAAUUUAAAACAAUAGUUCAUCUAAAAUUAAAAUGCUGUCAACAUUUACCCUCACGUUGUUCCGAACUCAAAUGGCAUUCUUUCUUCCGUGGAACACAAAAGGAGAUGAGAAAUGGGGCAUCUUUGGAAAAUCCACAGGGAAUUAAUCAAUAAUAUAUACAGUUAGGCCAUUUGUAUUUAUGAGGCCAUGAGUCAAACCACAAGAUCAUGUGAAUUCGUCAAGAUUAUGAUGAACUGUUUGGAAUGUCUGAUCCCAC